rnacentral:rRNA from 1 species
GUCUCAAAGAUUAAGCCAUGCAUGUCUAAGUAUAAGCAAUCUAUACUGUGAAACUGCGAAUGGCUCAUUAAAUCAGUUAUCGUUUAUUUGAUAGUACCUUACUACAUGGAUACCUGUGGUAAUUCUAGAGCUAAUACAUGCUAAAAACCCCGACUUCGGGAGGGGUGUAUUUAUUAGAUAAAAAACCAAUGCCCCUCGGGGCUCCUUGGUGAAUCAUAAUAACUUAACGAAUCGCAUGGCCUUGCGCCGGCGAUGGUUCAUUCAAAUUUCUGCCCUAUCAACUUUCGAUGGUAGGAUAGUGGCCUACCAUGGUGGCAACGGGUAACGGGGAAUUAGGGUUCGAUUCCGGAGAGGGAGCCUGAGAAACGGCUACCACAUCCAAGGAAGGCAGCAGGCGCGCAAAUUACCCAAUCCCGACACGGGGAGGUAGUGACAAUAAAUACUGAUACGGGGCUCUUUUGGGUCUCGUAAUUGGAAUGAGUACAAUCUAAAUCCCUUAACGAGGAACAAUUGGAGGGCAAGUCUGGUG